UACGGGGGGGGUAAGCGUUGUUCGGAAUUACUGGGCGUAAAGGGUCUGUAGGUGGCUUGCUAAGUCAGACGUGAAAUCCCUCAGCUUAACUGGGGAACUGCGUCUGAGACUGGCGAGCUUGAGUGCAGGAGAGGAACGCGGAAUUCCAGGUGUAGCGGUGAAAUGCGUAGAUAUCUGGAGGAACACCGGUGGCGAAGGCGGGUCUCUGGGCAGUAACUGACGCUGAGGAGCGAAAGCGUGGGGAGCGAACAGG
rnacentral:rRNA from 1 species